rnacentral:rRNA from 1 species
UGGGGAAUUUUGGACAAUGGACGCAAGUCUGAUCCAGCCAUGCCGCGUGCGGGAAGAAGGCCUUCGGGUUGUAAACCGCUUUUGUCAGGGAAGAAACGAGUUUCUCUAAUACAGAGACUUAAUGACGGUACCUGAAGAAUAAGCACCGGCUAACUACGUGCCAGCAGCCGCGGUAAUACGUAGGGUGCGAGCGUUAAUCGGAAUUACUGGGCGUAAAGCGGGCGCAGGCGGUGAUGUAAGACAGAUGUGAAAUCCCCGGGCUCAACCUGGGACCUGCAUUUGUGACUGCAUAGCUAGAGUACGGUAGAGGGGGAUGGAAUUCCGCGUGUAGCAGUGAAAUGCGUAGAUAUGCGGAGGAACACCGAUGGCGAAGGCAAUCCCCUGGACCUGUACUGACGCUCAUGCACGAAAGCGUGGGGAGCAAACA